GCGGUCAUGGCGGAAUAGGCAGACGCGUACGUUUGAGGGGCGUAUGGUUACACCGUCCGAGUUCAAGUCUCGGUGACCGCACCA
rnacentral:tRNA from 4 species